CUGGGGGAGAGAUCCAUGGGAGUCACGAUGGAGGGGAAGCUUCCAGAGGCGGGCUGCUGCUCCGAAAGAGAAAGUUAAAUGACUUGCUAACACCCAUGGACAUGAAAUUUUCUGAGAGCGCUACAUGUAAGAGUACAUGUAAGUGCUGAGAGUAAAUCAGCUGGUUUACAGGAACUCGUGGUUGUUGUGUAAAUACUGUCAGUGCUGUAAAAUCAGCUGAUCAGAGGUUCAAAGUCUCCUUUCAGUUGUUCAACCUGCCAAACUACUGGAACUCACUGAAGAAAGCUGGAGGACGGAAGAUCCCAAACAUCAUUGUUAGCCCUCUGCAGGAAGAUGAAGGAGCGUGGAAAACAUUUAAGUCUCUCUCAACAAAAUAUGGUCCACCAGGACGAAACCGCAUCGUCAUCCCGUUCAGCCUCCCAGCAGAGAGUGAAAGUGUCCCGUUCUCUGUCGUCUGCUUGGCUCUGUCCCUGGUGCUCCUCUCUUCCAGGUUUAAAGCCACCGUUCACUUUAAUGCCUGUCUGAGUGAUAAGUCUACAGGACAGAAAUGUGACAGGAAGUAUCUGCAGGAGCAGCACUACUGCACUGAAGACAACACUGUGAUGACAUGUUCACCAGAUGCA
ensembl:lncRNA